UUGUCUUCUUGUGCUUUGGGGUUUUUAUAGAAGGUGAGAAAUGGCUCCAAAAGGCUCUCCAACGGUCAAAUAUUAAAUGCUGUCAAAACUAGCCGUUGGCCUGUCGGACGUCCGAACCACCUGUCGACGUCCGAACCCUGCGUCCAAACCACCUGUCGGACGUCCGAACCCUGCGUCCGAACGUCGUCAGAGAGUCAUCAAAUCUUUGCGAAAUUUCUCGGACGUCCGAUGCGAUCGAUGUGCGUCCGACAGAGUUUCCUUCUUGAUGUUCUUCAUCCUUUCGGACGUCC
rnacentral:lncRNA from 1 species